rnacentral:rRNA from 1 species
AGCGGCAGGCCUAACACAUGCAAGUCAGGGGUAACAGGAAAAGCUUGCUUUUCGCUGACGACCGGCGCACGGGUGCGUAACACGUAUGCAACCUACCUUGAUCAGGGGAAUAGCCCAGAGAAAUCUGGAUUAAUACCCAUAAUAUAAUUCAUUCGCAUGUUUGAAUUAUUAAAGUUUCGGCGGAUCAAGAUGGGCAUGCGGCCUAUUAGUUUGUUGGUGAGGUAACGGCUCACCAAGACUACGAUAGGUAGGGGUUCUGAGAGGAUGAUCCCCACACUGGUACUGAGACACGGACCAGACUCCUACGGGAGGCAGCAGUGAGGAAUAUUGCGCAAUGGACGAAAGUCUGACGCAGCCAUGCCGCGUGCAGGAUGAAUGCCCUAUGGGUUGUAAACUGCUUUUAUAUACCAAGAAACCCUCGGACGUGUCCGAGGCUGACGGUAGUAUAUGAAUAAGGACCGGCUAACUCCGUG